rnacentral:lncRNA from 1 species
GUGUUACCUGCCGACAGCAUGAUGCGAGGCAAAGUCCAGCCAUUCCACCCGGCAUACAAGCUUAUGGAGCACCCCCUUUGAAGAUCUCCAGGUGGACUUCACAGAGAUGUCAAAGUGUAGAGUUCACCCAUUCUCCCCAGGUGAUCGAGUGUGGAUCAAGACCUGGAACGGAGCCUCUUCGUGUCCACUGUGGAAAGGACCCCAGACUGUCGUUCUGAGCACUCCCACCGCUGUGAAGGUAGAAGGAAUCCCAGCCUGGAUCCACCACAGCCAUGUAAAACCUGCAGCGCCUGAAACCUGGGAGGCAAGACCAAGCCCAGACAACCCUUGCAGAGUGACCCUGAAGAAGACGACAAGCCCUGCUCCAGUCACACCCUGAAGCUGACUGGUCCACGCACGGCCGAAGCAUGAGGAAGCUCAUCGUUGGAUUCAUUUUUCUUAAAUUUUGGACUUAUACAGUAAGGGCUUCAACUGAUCUUACUCAAACUGGGGACUGUUCCCAGUGUAUUCAUCAGGUCACCGAAGUAGGACAGCAAAUUAAAACAAUCUUUCUGUUCUAUAGUUAUUAUGAAUGUAUGGAAACAAUAAAAGAAACUUGUUUGUAUAAUGCCA